GGUUCGGGUCGCGUCGGGUAUUGACAAAGUGGAACCACAUCCUUAUACUAGUCACAUCCUUGGGUUUAGCUAUUCUUCCUCUCGGAGACGCGUUAGGAAUUCUUGCUGAUACAACAAAACGUUGCGAGAUUGAUCUACGUAAAGAAUCGACAGCAAAGCUAAAUGCCCCGUCACCUUAUCCUGUGAUUACGUUUGGUCCGUUUGCUUCCGCAACCAAUGUUUUGACAUCGUUGUCACACGCAAUUGGAACCGUUUUCAUGCCACCAAAGUGGUCAUUAGGAUAUCAACAGUGUCGUUGGAGCUAUAACUCAAAUGCGCGUGUCCGUGAGAUUGCCAAAACAUUUAGAGAUAAAGUCAUAAAGGUAUACCGUGUGAUGUCAUAUGGAUAGAUAUGGACUACAUGGACGGCUUUCGAUGUUUCACGUUCGAUAAGGUUCUAAUUUUGGUGGUGUCGGAGCCCCUGUUGACCUUUCUGCCGUUCUCGAGUACUUCGCUGUUGAGUUAUUGGAGUUGGCUGGGAAUGCAGCAAGGGACAACGAGAAGUCGAGAGGCACAUACAGCAAGCAAUAGAAGGAUGAGCUAGCACUGCUUGUUGAGGAGCCCAGCUCAUUAUCUUCCUACGAGUUUUCUUACGCAGAAAUCUGACCCGGGUGGGGUUCCGGCGAGUCGAACUUGACACGGCGAUGGCAAUCGAUUCCGGCAAUGGAAGAUUUGGGGUUUUAGGGUUCUGUUGUUUUUGUCAUUCCUGGAGGACUUUAUAUCUUAUUUUUGUUUGAUUAUGAUUAUUCAUGUCUUAGAUGUAGCUUAAGAAGUCAAUGUCCAGAAGUUACGUUGAUGUUCUGUAUUUAUUGGGUGCAGGAAUAUUGUAGGUUAUGUGGUGGAUUGGAUCCGAAAACUGGGACAAAAUGCCAUAGUCGCCGCCUCCAGCAUGACGGCUAGGGUUCUGAUGAGUUGAAUCUGGUGAAGCAUAUCCGCAAGUCAUAUGCCAUAUAUUUUCGCAUAGCCAUUGCUUCUGCAUUUUCUCCACAUAAUCCAUCUGGAGGGACGAUACGGGAUCCCAAGAAUAGGCCCGUGUUGUGCUGGUACAUGAUAUGGGUCCAAACUAGGAGCUUAUAAGUAAUGCCACUGUUGAUGUGUGUAUUUUAAGUCUACCUUGCUAAAUCGUGUGAGAUCGGGCUGCGAGACCAGGAACAAUGUGCUUCUUGCUGUUCCGGCACUUCUCUAUGCUAUUAAUAAGUACUUGAAGUUCAUUAUGCAGCAACCGUAAAGAUGCUGAGCAAUCUAGAGAAAUCCAUAAUUUCUGCUAAUUUCUACCGAGGAGUUCGUGAUUCGCAGCUGAUCGGAUUAUCCGGUUACACAAAAGAGGGCCUUCCGGUUCAUUGUCAGCCUUAACAAGUAUCUCGAAGCUCGAAAUCAUAAGCUGUCGGUUGGCGAGCAGGAGUUGCAGCAGAAGCAAGAACCAUAGUAGAAGUCGAAGCCGUAGCAGAAGCCUGCAAACGCAGCAGAAGUGGGAAAACUACCAGCAACUCAAGCAAACCCUGAUGUUUUCUUUGCAUUUUAGGGGGGACAUGCGUGCUUCUCUCCCAGGGCAUACAAAACACAGGUUAUUGGCGGCAGCCC